rnacentral:rRNA from 1 species
ACGUAGGUGGCAAGCGUUGUCCGGAUUUAUUGGGUUUAAAGGGUGCGUAGGCGGUUUUGUAAGUCAGUGGUGAAAUAUAGCAGCUUAACUGUUAGGGUGCCAUUGAUACUGCAGAACUUGAGUACAGAUGAGGUAGGCGGAAUUGACGGUGUAGCGGUGAAAUGCUUAGAUAUCGUCAAGAACACCUAUAGCGAAGGCAGCUUACUAGGCUGUAACUGACGCUGAGGCACGAAAGUGUGGGGAUCAAACAGGAUUAGAUACCCUGGUAGUCCACACUGUAAACGUUGAUUACUCGCUGUGUGCGAUAUACAGUACGCGGCCAAGCGAAAGCGAUAAGUAAUCCACCUGGGGAGUACGCCGGCAACGGUG